GGGAGAGUCGAGUUGGGGUGCUUGGGGGUUACGAAGUGGGGAUGUCUAGGGGAUGCCGCAUUUACACACUGGGAGCUCAGGGCAGAGCUCAGCUUGGAGAAGGUAACUGGGAGUGAGUGAGUUUGUCCAGGGGCCAUGAGGAGCGUGGGCAGGAGGCCCAGGCACCCACUAUCCCAGGGCAGGAGGAGGAGGAGCUGCUGGGGAGGUAGAAGGAAAAUAGGAAGGUGAGGUCUCCCUGAAGCUGAGGGAGGGGAGAGCUUGAAGGAGGAGGGUGUGGCCUGCCCCAGUCAGAUGUCACAGAGGCUGAGGAGAAGCCACCAGAUCUGGCCAUCAGGGGCUGUCAAUGCCCUGGGUAGGAACAUUUUCCUGGCAGGGUGGGAACUGAACCUUGGGAAGCUCCGUGGUGAAGGGCUUUUCUCAAAGUUCCCAUAGUGAAUUACGGGCCCUCCAAUGUCCCCCCAACAGGUCCCAUCCAUCGUGCCCGCCCCUGAGGUCCUUCUCAUCACAUUUUUCCAUGUUUUUUCACGGUAAACUCCAGGAGAAGCCACCAGGAACCACGCUAAGCCUAUUAUCUCAUUUGAACUUUGUUUCAGUCUCAAGAAGUCAGUAUCAUUUUCAUUCCCACUUUGCAGACAAGCAAACUGAGGCCCUGAGGUCAGGAACUUAAUUGGCCAGUACUGGGGGCAGGCCAUUCCUAACUUGUGGGUGGCAAUGGGGAAAAACAAACCCACAUCGUCUGAACUUACAACACCUGAACUCUGGUUCUCACACCGUGGCCUGCACACAAAUCACCAGAGGCUGGCAUGAAUUUGCAGACUCUUAGGCCCAAACUGCAGAUUCUGAUUCAGCAGGUGCGAAGCAGCGUCUGGGGACACGUUCUGUUCACCAGCACGCCAAGUGAUUCCCACGCAGGUGCUGGAGGGCCACCCUGAGACGACAUGAACCCAAUGGUGCACACGUGGUGGACCUGCAGGCAGUGGAAUAGUCCUGGACCCCUAAGCCACUGGUUUCUGGCGAUCAGUUAGGGCUCUGGCUGCAGCUGGGAGCUGAGCCCGGGCUGGGGGAGGCAGAGGGCGGUAAUAAAGAAACAACAGGAAGCUCAGCUUUUAUUAGCCCUGGGUAGUCGCAGCUGCAGGUUACUUGGACUCUCUGAGCCUGGAAAAGCGAUUGGCACAGCACCUGACGUGCAGUAGUCUCUUCACUGAUGAUUGCGGCUGUGACCGUUUCUUGCACUUUACAAGGAUGCCCAGAUGCCCCCGAAGAUCCUGGGCCUCUGUGCAGGGAGCCGGGAGCAGAGAUGACCAAGAUCCAGUCUCUGACCUCAAGGAGCUCAUGGGCUAGUCGGGGAGACAGACCCCCAAACAGACAACCGCGGUAUUUGCUAAAAGCCGUAAUGGAGGCAUGUGCAUCCUGUGUCGAAGCAGAAGAGAACCCGUCCAGCUCUGGGAGGGGCUGGGGAGGCUGCACGUGGAAGGGCUUUUGAGCAGCAUCUUUAAAAAAAUGUUAAUAAUGUAUUUUAUUGAACCCAAUAUUUCAAAAUAUGAUCAACAUGUAAUAUUAUCAAUUAAAAUUGAUAUAAAAAUUCUUGAGAUUUUUUACCUUUUUUUCUAAGUCUUUAAAGUCUGGUGUGUAUUUUACACUAUGGCACAGCUCAGUUCAGCCUGGCCGCAUUUCAAGUGCUUCCUGGCCACAUACGGCUAGCGGGUGAGCAGCAUCUCAUUUAAAUGGUGCCCUUUCUCUCAUUUUACAGAUGAGGAAGCAGACACUCAGAGGAGUCAAGUCACUUGCCAAGGUCACAGU
rnacentral:lncRNA from 1 species